GACGAACGCUGGCGGCGUGCUUAACACAUGCAAGUCGAACGGAAAGGCCCUGCUUUUGUGGGGUGCUCGAGUGGCGAACGGGUGAGUAACACGUGAGUAACCUGCCCUUGACUUUGGGAUAACUUCAGGAAACUGGGGCUAAUACCGGAUAGGAGCUCCUGCUGCAUGGUGGGGGUUGGAAAGUUUCGGCGGUUGGGGAUGGACUCGCGGCUUAUCAGCUUGUUGGUGGGGUAGUGGCUUACCAAGGCUUUGACGGGUAGCCGGCCUGAGAGGGUGACCGGCCACAUUGGGACUGAGAUCAGGCCCAGACUCCUACGGGAGGCAGCAGUGGGGAAUAUUGCACAAUGGGCGGAAGCCUGAUGCAGCAACGCCGCGUGCGGGAUGACGGCCUUCGGGUUGUAAACCGCUUUCGCCUGUGACGAAGCGUGAGUGACGGUAAUGGGUAAAGAAGCACCGGCUAACUACGUG
rnacentral:rRNA from 1 species